rnacentral:lncRNA from 1 species
AAAGUGUUGUGGCUAAUUAGAAUUAGAAAAUAUCUAUAAAUCUAUAUGAAGUCACAAUAUUUUUUGCCAUGUGGUAUGUUAUCUUUCAUUCUCAUAGUUAAACUUUAAAUUAAACCACCUUUUCCUCUUCUCGACGCCCAACUCUUCAUCUUCCCACUCCUCUAAUUAUAUGUAAGGUGCAAUAUUUAAUUACAUGCACCAUAUUAAUAUUUUAUUAAUAAGUGAGCUUUAUAACUUCUAACUAUAAUUUUAUUUUUUUAACAGUUGAAUUUAGUCAUGCAAAUUGGUUGUACUUAAUAUGGUAUAGCUUUCUAUAUAUUAAUAAGCUGUAAAUAUAAAUUUUAUUAAAAUUUUAAAAUUUUGCUUUUAGUAUUUACUUGCUGUAUCGUGCGGGUCUUUACACUAGUAUUAAAUAAGUUUUGAAAACAAAUGAUCGAAUU